CAAUAGCGUAUAUUAAAGUUGUUGCAGUUAAAAAGCUCGUAGUUGGAUUUCUGGUGGGAGCGAUCGGUCUGGCGCUUAGCGCGAGUACUUGCAUCGUCUCCGGCCAUCCUUGGGGAGAGUCUGUCUGGCAUUAAGUUGUCGGGCAGAGGAUCCUCAUCGUUUACUGUGAAAAAAUUAGAGUGUUCAAAGCAGGCUUAUGCCGUUGAAUAUAUUAGCAUGGAAUAAUAAGAUAGGACUUUGGUACUAUUUUGUUGGUUUGCGCACCAAAGUAAUGAUUAAUAGUGACAGUUGGGGGUAUUCGUAUUCCGUUGUCAGAGGUGAAAUUCUUGGAUUUACGGAAGACGAACUACUGCGAAAGCAUUUACCAAGGAUGUUUUCAUUAA
rnacentral:rRNA from 1 species